GCAGCCACUCCCUCAACUGCCUUCCCUUCCCUGCCACCCUGGUGGGAUGGGGACGAGAAUCUAAAUUCCAACUUGACAAAAAGUUAACUUUAAGACUACCCCCAGAAUAGGUUUAGGAUUAAGUUUAAUAGUAAGUUUAGUUCCUAAGUAUAAUAAUAAUAAGAAUAGUAAUAGUUAUAAUAACUAGUUUAAGAUAGAUCAUUUUAAUAAGAAUUUAGUUUUAUAAAACUCUAAACAGAAAGUUAGAUAACGUUAGCUCCCAACUCCCCAUGUCCCCUGUCCUGCUUUAAUCCCAGCUGGAAAUGAAGCCCCAGCAGCCAUCCCCUCAAGCCUCUUCCCUUCCCCGCCACCCUAGUUUCAUAAUAGCUUUCAUUAUAACUUUAGUUAAGUGUAAUAAUUAUAAGUGAAAAAUAGAUAAGUUUAUUACUAACAAUUUAGUUUUAGAAAACUCAAACCCAAAACCUUUAUAAAGGUUUCUAGUGAAAAGCCAAGUAGAGUUCAGUAACAGCGGCGAGGAAAAAGCCCAGACAAGUGAUGCCCCAUAGAGCGGCUCACCCACAGCUGAGCCAUGCCACACCCCCCUUGCGGAACCCAGAGGGGCCCCCCUUCCAGCUCCCUCGCCCAGUUUCUAAGCUGGACAUGACCUUGGGUGGUGUGCACCAGAAAGGCAGAACAUAACAGUGUGCAAAGGCCCAUGGGAAAGCACCUAGGAAAGGGAGAAACCUGGAAGAGUGUGAGAGAAAGGUCCUGGUCCUUCUGGCUCGACCUUCAAGCGUUCGGCCAGCAGGGCAUCGCCCACAAGGUGCCUCAGUCCUGAGGCACGUGGCGUCCUGCUGCUGUCAAAGGCCCUCUCAAGGCGGCUGCUCCAGCACUCCUGGGGCAGCAGGACAAGCCGUCAGGCUCAGAACAGCCCGUGGAGCCUUGAGACCGAAGGCAGCAGCAGAGCAGCAACUGCACAGGGAACGUUCUCAGGUGCAGACACAGCGCAGCUGCUCGGGAUCUACUGCGCCCAGAGCAGAAAUAAAAGAAAGGAAUGAUCA